AAAAUCAAAAUGAAUUCAAGAAGUUAAUUAAGGAUGACCUAUAUAUCAAGUUCGCCCGAACAAGGUUUCGAACAGGUACAAACAGGGCAAAAGAAUAAACCGGACGGACACGCAGUCAAUAAGAAGAACACCCAAAAAGAUGAGGUAAUGAACAAAAAUAAGUUCAAACAGGUAUGUUCCAAAGCAAAAAAAAAAAAAAAUUCAGAACGACAUACUGUUCAAAAAGAAGAAGAAGAGCAAACAGUAAGAUUCAUUGUUAAGAUCCUCGGCAUCUUCAGGCCAGAAGGAGGUUCGACCGGGAUUUCACUUUCCUGCCAGCGCUUCCAUUGAUUAUGAUUCAGAGGAACGACCAUAGACUCGAACUGAGGUUCCCGCAGGUUGACCAUCGCACGCUCAUGACGCAUCCCGUCGACAAAGUUCUUGAAGCAGAAUUUUUUAGUCCGCUCGGAAGUCUCCCUGCAGAGCUGAGCAAAAAGCACUUUGGCAUCCUCAAUACUUUUUUCAAUUUGUUCCACCAUGGAGAGGGCGUCAUCUUUCAGCUUCAAAGCAGUCUCGGUCUUCCAA
rnacentral:lncRNA from 1 species